CCGAAAGGCAGACUAAUACCGCAUAGUCUUCGAUGACGGCAUCAGAUUUGAAGUAAAGAUUUAUCGGUAAUGGAUGGGGAUGCGUCUGAUUAGCUUGUCGGCGGGGUAACGGCCCACCAAGGCGACGAUCAGUAGGGGUUCUGAGAGGAAGGUCCCCCCACAUUGGAACUGAGACACGGUCCAAACUCCUACCGGGAGGCAGCAGCG
rnacentral:rRNA from 1 species